AAUCAACGCUGGCGGCGUGCCUAACACAUGCAAGUCGAACGCGAAAGGGGCUUCGGUCCUGAGUAGAGUGGCGUCCGGGUGAGUAACGCGUGGGUAAUCUACCUUUGGGUGGGGAAUAACUAGUCGAAAGGCUAGCUAAUACCGCAUAAUGCAAUUUUCUACUAGAAUUUUGUUAAAGCAGUAAUGUGCCUAAAGAUGAGCCUGCGUCUGAUUAGUUUGUUGGUAGGGUAAUGGCCUACCAAGACUACUAUCAGUAGCUGGUCUGAGAGGACGGCCAGCCACAAUGGCACUGAAACACGGGCCAUACUCCUACGGGAGGCAGCAGUGGGGAAUUUUGCGCAAUGAGCGAAAGCUUGACGCAGCAACGCCGCGUGAAGGAUGAAAUCCUUCGGGAUGUAAACUUCGCAAGUAUGGGAAGAAAAAAUAGACGGUACCAUAUGUAAGCCCCGGCUAACUCCGUGCCAGCAGCCGCGGUAAGGAGCUGUCGU
rnacentral:rRNA from 1 species